rnacentral:rRNA from 1 species
UACGUAGGGGGCAAGCGUUAUCCGGAUUUACUGGGUGUAAAGGGAGCGUAGACGGAAUUGCAAGUCUGAUGUGAAAAUCCGGGGCCCAACCCCGGAACUGCAUUGGAAACUGUAUUUCUAGGGUGUCGGAGAGGCAAGUGGAAUUCCUGGUGUAGCGGUGAAAUGCGUAGAUAUCAGGAGGAACACCAGUGGCGAAGGCGGCUUGCUGGACGAUGACUGACGUUGAGGCUCGAAAGCGUGGGGAGCAAACAGG